UACGGAGGGUGCAAGCGUUAUCCGGAUUCACUGGGUUUAAAGGGUGCGUAGGAGGGCAGGUAAGUCAGUGGUGAAAUCUCCAAGCUUAACUUGGAACUGCCGUUGAUACUAUCUGUCUUGAAUACCGUGGAGGUGAGCGGAAUAUGUCAUGUAGCGGUGAAAUGCUUAGAUAUGAACAUAGUAACACCAAUUGCGAAAGGCAGCUCGCUACACGAAUAUUGACUCUGAGGCACGAAAGCGUGGGGAUCAAACAGGA
rnacentral:rRNA from 1 species